rnacentral:rRNA from 1 species
AAAAACUCCGGUGGUAUACGAUGGAUCCGCGUCUGAUUAGCCAGUUGGCGGGGUAACGGCCCACCAAAGCGACGAUCAGUAGCCGGCCUGAGAGGGUGAACGGCCACAUUGGGACUGAGACACGGCCCAAACUCCUACGGGAGGCAGCAGUGGGGAAUAUUGCACAAUGGGGGAAACCCUGAUGCAGCGACGCCGCGUGAGUGAAGAAGUAUUUCGGUACGUAAAGCUCUAUCAGCAGGGAAGAAAAACCGGCCUUAGGGCCGCCAGACGGUACCUGACUAAGAAGCCCCGGCUAACUACGUGCCAGCAGCCGCGGUAAUACGUAGGGGGCAAGCGUUAUCCGGAUUUACUGGGUGUAAAGGGAGCGUAGACGGCAGCGCAAGUCUGGAGUGAAAUGCCGGGGCCCAACCCCGGAACUGCUUUGGAAACUGUGCAGCUCGAGUGCAGGAGAGGUAAGCGGAAUUCCUAGUGUAGCGGUGAAAUGCGUAGAUAUUAGGAGGAACACCAGUGGCGAAGGCGGCUUACUGGACUGUAACUGACGUUGAGGCUCGAAAGCGUGGGGAGCAAACAGGAUUAGAUACCCUGGUAGUCCACGCCGUAAACGAUGAUUACUAGGUGUCGGGGGGCCAAGGCCCUCCG